UUUACCUACGGGGGGCAGCAGUGGGGAAUAUUGCGCAAUGGGGGCAACCCUGACGCAGCAACGCCGCGUGCAGGAAGAAGGUCUUCGGAUUGUAAACUGUUGUCGCAGGGGAAGAAGACAGUGACGGUACCCUGUGAGAAAGUCACGGCUAACUACGUGCCAGCAGCCGCGGUAAUACGUAGGUGACAAGCGUUGUCCGGAUUUACUGGGUGUAAAGGGCGCGUAGGCGGACUGUCAAGUCAGUCGUGAAAUACCGGGGCUUAACCCCGGGGCUGCGAUUGAAACUGACAGCCUUGAGUAUCGGA
rnacentral:rRNA from 1 species